AAAUGAAUUGACGGGGGCCCGCACAAGCGGCGGAGCAUGUGGAUUAAUUCGAUGCAACGCGAAGAACCUUACCUGGGCUUGACAUAUGCCGGAUCGGCGCAGAGAUGCGUUUUCCCUUGUGGUCGGUAUACAGGUGGUGCAUGGUUGUCGUCAGCUCGUGUCGUGAGAUGUUGGGUUAAGUCCCGCAACGAGCGCAACCCUUGUCUUGUGUUGCCAGCACGUUAUGGUGGGGACUCGCGAGAGACUGCCGGGGUUAACUCGGAGGAAGGUGGGGAUGACGUCAAAUCAUCAUGCCCCUUAUGUCCAGGGCUUCACACAUGCUACAAUGGUCGGUACAGUGGGUUGCUACACCGUGAGGUGGUGCUAAUCCCUUAAAGCCGGUCUCAGUUCGGAUUGGAGUCUGCAACUCGACUCCAUGAAGUCGGAGUCGCUAGUAAUCGCAGAUCAGCAACGCUGCGGUGAAUACGUUCCCGGGCCUUGUACACACCGCCCGU
rnacentral:rRNA from 1 species